AUGACGACGCACGGAGAUGUUUUCAAGAUGAAGCUACUCAUGUACCUCAUCUCAGCUGUUUUUGCGCCGACCACUUCCCUUCGCCCAAGCAACAAAUGUUUCCCCAUCCUGGCGAAUCUGAAAAAUGUGAAGAACAUGAACUGGUGUAAGUUUAUUGCCGACUUUCUCCAUGAUGCUUUCAAAAACAAGAUGUACCAGAAGGGUUGUCGACUGCAUUUAAUGCUCAUGUAUGUCGACUGUCUUGAUCUAUCCACCGUGGAUUUCUCUGGGGUAGGAGGCCCGCCGCCUACGCACAAGUUUGCUGUUUCUGCGUGGACCAUCAACGCUGUCAAGGCCGUGCUUGCCGCAGACAGGGCAACUGAUAGCACGUAUGGAAAACUACAGCUGAUGGCCAAGCAUGCUAUAGACUACAGCGUGUUUGGGGGGCCUAAAAAAUUUGGAAAGUGGAUGGACGUGCACUCAGCUCCGUCUUGCCCUUCUGAGGCGAGGGCACCAGUUGAGCAUCUAAUUGGGCAGUUUGCUUCCGAAAUGACCGGAUUGCUCAGGAAGUUGGUUGAGGGGUGGACGUCCCUCAGUGCCUCUGACAGCGACGCGGUUGCGAGUUCCCAAGAGCCCGGCGACACACAAGAUGAUGUAGAUGGAGACGCUGGCCUCAGCAAGGAUGACGACGACGACAUGGACAAUGUGCAUCAGGACACGGAUGACGAUGAACAUGCUGAAGUUCGCACAGGCAGCAACAAGGGCAAGGAUGCAACAGAUGCCCCCCCACCGGAGAAAGUGAAAGAAUAG
rnacentral:rRNA from 1 species